rnacentral:snRNA from 1 species
GGGUGGGAGGACGAUUUGGCUGCGACAUCUGUCACUCCGUUGAUCGCCAGGGUUGAUCUGGCUGGCGAGGUGGGUGUCCCCUUCCUCCCUCACCUCUCCAUGGGCGUCCCUCCCGAAGCUGCGCGCUCGAUCACAGCGGACGACCUUCCCCAAAUAGAGGAGGAGCGGUCUUCAGUCAAGUGUAUGCGAGUAGCUAUGCUCCCCUGCUAGAACCUCCAAACAAACUCUCAAGAACUCUGUGUGUGUGUGUGUGUGUGUGUGUGUGUGUGUGUGUGCAUGCGCAUACGCAUGCGUAUGUGCCACGAUGC